rnacentral:rRNA from 1 species
AGAGUUUGAUCCUGGCUCAGAGCGAACGCUGGCGGCAGGCUUAACACAUGCAAGUCGAACGCCAUCUUCGGAUGGAGUGGCAGACGGGUGAGUAACGCGUGGGAACGUACCCUUUUGGUUCGGAAUAUUCUCGGGAAACUGGGAGCAAUACCGGAUAAGCCCUACGGGGGAAAGAUUUAUCGCCAAAGGAGCGGCCCGCGUCAGAUUAGGUAGUUGGUGGGGUAAAGGCCUACCAAGCCUACGAUCUGUAGCUGGUCUGAGAGGAUGAUCAGCCACACUGGGACUGAGACACGGCCCAGACUCCUACGGGAGGCAGCAGUGGGGAAUCUUGGACAAUGGGCGCAAGCCUGAUCCAGCCAUGCCGCGUGGAUGAUGAAGGCCUUAGGGUUGGAAAAUGCUUUCAACGGGGACGAUAAUGACGGUACCCGGAGAAGAAGCCCCGGGUAACUUCGUGCCA